AGUCCGUCCGUCCGUCCAUCCGCGAGGGUUUCGAACGUCGGAACUUUUCCCUCCAGCCGCCCUUUCUAUUGUAGAUGUUUCAUUCGUUAAUAUAGGCGAUGAAAUAACAUUUUAUCAUUCGUUCGAUUCUCACGGAUGAAAUGCUGGUGCCCAUUAUUGGUGCGAUUUUCUGAUGCUCAGGAGAUAUUUUUAGCUUACAUUUAAAACCUGUUUUACGGGAAUUGAGUUGCGUUAUGCGAGAAACAAUUUCAUCGUUCCAUGGAUAAGUUGAAGCUGCAGUGGAAUUGUAUGUAUUUUUGAGAUGAAGAUUAUUAUUAUUGUAAUUUAAUUUCUAGAAAAGAUGGUCAAAUGAAAAAUUUAUGAAAGGGAAAGAAAAUAUGAAUGCAACUUUUGUUGGAUAUUCUUUCAUAAAAAACCAAAUUCCUUGUGUGAUUGUUGUCAUUGUACAUAUAAAAUUUAUAACUGAGCAGUUUUUACAAAUAUUUUUUAAUAUAGCAAUAUUAAUCUUUAAAAAUAUUAUAAAUUAAAACCAUAUAUAUAUAUAUAUAUAUAUAUACAUACACUCACAAUUACACCCAUGUAUUAUUUUAAAGCAUAUUAUUAAGAAACUCUUGUAAUACUAUAUAUAUAUAUAUAUAUAUAUAUAUAUAUAUAUUAAUCUUCUGCUGUUUCUUUUCGAAAUUCAGUAGAUAAUUUGUUGGAUUUUUGCCGCAUUGCAUACUUUCAAAUUGUCUCCGAAAAGCUUCUGUGAUUCCUAAUUAUUAUGAAUAAAGAGGUAACACAAAGAAUACUUAUAGAACCAUCAAUUACAACCCACUAAAAACAAUAUAUAUAUAUAUAUAUAUAUAUAUAUAUUUAGUAUUUUCCAUAACUUCAAGUAAUACAGAUAGGAACUUUAAGCUCUUUUCUUAUCUUCUUCUUCUUCUGUUUUUUUUUUUUUUUUUUUUUUUUUUUUUGUUUGUUUUGUGUUGUAAGCAUAACAAAGGUACUAAAUGCAUUUCAAGUUUUUUAAUGUCCAAUACAACAGUUUGGAUCAAUUUAAAAAUUUAAUUUGACUUAAAAAUGCAACUGUGAAAAAACACAAACAAAAGAUUAAAUGAUAUACAACUCUCUAUUUAAUAAAAACAUAUAAUGAUUAAAAUUAGCUGAGAUAAAACUAUUGAUAUUUUAAUUCGUACUUUAAUUUAUGAUAAAAUAAAAUUUAUCUUGCAAAACUAUUUUUUAAAAUUCAAUAUAUCAAAAAAAUGAUUUAUAUUAUAAUUUUCAAAUUUUUGUAUUAUUUUUAGGAUUAAGCAUUUUAAACUUUAAUAGGCAAACUUUAGAAAAAGAUUUAAAUGCUUCACUAGAUUUAUUAUGUAAAAUUAUGAUUUCUAAAAGGAAUUUUAAGUUGAGUUUAUAUUAAAAGUAUCAAUUUCUAUCUAUCUUUAAAUUGAACACUUUAUAUAUAUAUAUUUUUCUCUAGUAUAAUGUUGAAAUAAUUCCUUAAUAAAUAUUAUUCUAAGCAACAUAAUUCAAUAUUUAUAAGAAUUAUUUGCAUUAAAAUAAUAAAUAAUAAAUAAUAAAUAAAAUUUAUUAAACAAUUAAUAGCCAUAAAAAAUAUUUCAAAAGAAAUGUAACAUUUGGAAAUAGUUGAAAUUUAAUAAGGGUUACAUGUUGACUUCAAUAUCUUUCAAUCUCCUUCAAAUUGUAUGAUUCUUAAGUUGUAUGAUUUGACUUAUUUAAUACAAGAAAUGUUGAGCUAAUAAAAAUAAAAAUAAAAAUCCUUUAAAAAAAUUAUUGGCUAAAGAAACUAGUCAACAAAAAAUUAAAAAAAUUAUUGUAAAUUUUGUAAGUUAGUAAUUUUAUAUAAAGUUAAGAACAUAGUUAAUAUUUACAAUUAAUGCUACACUUUUAUGUAUUUUUAUCUAUAAGACCGACACAAAUUAUACAGUUUAAUACAAAUGAAGUUAAAGAUGUAUUUAGAGAAACAUAAGGAUAUAUUAAUAAAAUGCUGAUUGUGUAAUUGCAUAAUCAAACUACAAAAAAAUACUUUCUGUGCAGACCGAUCUAAAAUAUAUUAUUAGAAAAUGACAACA
rnacentral:lncRNA from 1 species